AUAUAUCAAUCAUUUUAGAUUUAUGAACCUUAUUUCAUUGCUAUCACUUUCAUAUGACUAAGAGCUACACUUUGGUCUCAAAACUUACGAAAACUUAAACUUGUCCCUUAAAAUGUUCAAACCUGGUGAUACUUCUUCCCAAGUUUUAUAGGAGUUGUCCUUAGAAAAGGUUUGACUUGUUAGGUUAAAUGGUAUAACUGUCCUUGGUAUACAUAUUUUCUGUGAUUCAAAAAUGGGUUUUGCCUUGAAAAUAACAUGAGGCUGCUGAAUCAUUCUGGGAUUUUUUUAUUCACCGAAGAAAAUGAUUAUAAAUAGCAUAGACAGCCGGGCACCAUGUGCCUCCUCUAUAAAAAGGAGCAGGGGGUUGGGAAAAGGGCUGCCUUGGGAGAAUGAUGGAAAAGGCUGUCUCUUUGCAUGGUUGCUAGCUUUUGAGGGCACAGCUACACAGGAACGCACCCAAGAAGAAAGAAGGGUUCCUCUUUCCAAAGCUACCCAUGCUUCUGUUCUGUGACGGUUACGUCCUCCAAGGAGCUUACAGAUGGCCUGGUGACAUGGAGGUGACAAAGGCCAAAACACAGGCCAGGAGGAGAGAUCUGUUCGAUGGGACACAGAAUAUAACCUGGAACACAGAAUGUAACCCGGAAGGUAAGAGCAAAAGUAGCUCCUGAAGCCAGGCUGCUGAAGUGCAAGAGACGCACACAAGAGAAAUGACCCCGGAUACUGAAGGCUGCGUCUGGAAUACUACAGAAUUAUAAUACUUAUAGUUAACAACCCUGAUGUGGAUUCUGAAAAGCUUUAAGAGGUGUAGAGUUUGAGCUGGGUACUAGCUCAGCUGUUGAAGGAUUUAAAGAUUUAUAACCCAAAUGCCAUGGAUUCUGUAAUUUGUCAGACUAUUUCUCUCUGGACAGUUGGAUCUCAAAGGUGGCAGCAGUAUACGUCCCUCACAACCUGUCAGCUCAGCACAGUCAGGACAGCAGUUUGGCUGUAUUCGACGAUUAAAAUGUGACUUUUAGCUUGAAAAUGAAAUCCCUGUCCUUAUGACUUUGAAGCUCCUUUUAGAGCUCAUUGCUUUGACUUUUCUCUUAGUUGUGAAUGAAGAAACAUGAGCUUGUGGGACUA
rnacentral:sRNA from 1 species